rnacentral:rRNA from 1 species
UACGUAGGGUGCAGGCGUUAAUCGGAAUUACUGGGCGUAAAGCGUGCGCGAGGCGGUUUGCUAAGACAAGGGUGUGAAAUCCCCCGGGCUUAACCUGGGACUGCGCUUGUUACUGGCAGGCUUGAGUGUGGCAGAGGGGGGUGGAAUUCCACGUGGUAGCAGUGAAAUGCGUAGAGAAUGUGGAGGAACACCGAUGGCGAAGGCAGCCCCCUGGGCGUAACCA